ensembl:lncRNA
GUCUAUGCAUGUCCUUAUUCAAGCCAUUAGUUAGCUACUUUCUUCAUGAUUUAGAUAGUGAAAAUUACUUUUUGGUUAUCUCUCCCAUCAUCUUUAUUCCCUAAAGAAUGCACUUUAGAAAGAAUAAUCCAAUUGAAAAACCACAAUGGUGACAGGCAUAUCCCAAUACAGAUAUUAUAGUUGUGGGGUGACACCUUACAGACUAUCUAUGUCUUCCUAUGCCACAGGAAUACUGAAAGGAUAAAUUUAUUCAAAAAUAAGUAUGCUGCUGCUGCUUCUGCCAAGUCACUUCAGUCGUGUCCAACUCUGUGCAACCCCAUAGACGGCAGCCCACCAGGCUCCUCUGUCCCUGGGAUUCUCCAGGCAAGAACACUGGAGUGGGUUGCCAUUUUCUUCUCCAAUGCAUGAAAGUGAAAAGUGAAAGUGAAGUUGCUCAGUCGUGUCCAACUCUUUGUGACCCCAUGGACUGCAGCCUACCAGGCUCCUCCAUCCGUGGGAUUUUCCAGGCAAGAGUACUGGAGUGGGGUGCGAUCGCCUUCUCCAAAAAAUAAGUAUAACAAAGAGUAAAACCCACAAAAUGAGGGUAAUUAUGAUAUUGUUGUAACCACACACUUUCCAGUUUUAUCUUUUAAGCUGUAGUUGCCACGUGAACAGAAACACAAGAUGGAUGGAUAUGUAGGCAAAAAAAAAAAAAAAAACAAAAACGAAAACCUCCAAGAUCAGUAACACUAUCCACAGAUAAAAUUUGGCCCACUACUUGUUUUUGUCAAUAGAGUUUUAUUGGAACACUGCCACACCCAUUCAUAUCUAUAUUUCCUAUGGCUGCUUUCCUAUUAAUGUGCCAAAUUGUGUAGUUGUGCUAAACUAUGGCUUGCAAGAAAAACCUAUACAGCUUCAAAACACUUACUCUCUGACCCGCCAUAGAAAGUUUGUUAAUCCUGCUCUAGAGCACAUGGAGGAAUUCCUUUUCUUACACAUUUUUCUCAACCCCAAAACUAACAGGAUGAUCUAUGAGGGCAUAAAAGAAAAAAUAUGAAACAAAAAAGGGACAUAAUUGAAGAAGAAAUUUGUUUCACUGAGAGGCAGAGUUUAUUCCGAGGUUCUUGGCAAAAUCAAAUGGGGACCAGCCAGUGUUAGAAAAAGGACCAUUUACAGACACAGUGAUAUGAUAUGCAAGUUCACUGAAAGAUUAAAAUUUGGGGGAGAGUCAUUUGGUUUACAGUCAUAUGGCAAAGAAUAAAAAAAGGGGGGCUCUGUGUAGGGAUGCACAGUGGCCAAAGUAGCAGAGUGAUCUGGGGAUGAUCAAGAGGGGCUCUUUCAGACUGGCCCUAGUUCGGAUCCAAACACCUCCAAAUCAAUGAACUCACUCCACAUCUGUGUGGAUUGGUAGCAUCACAGGGAAGGAAAGGACCCUGACCAUUUCCACAGUAUGAAGGGGGCUUCUUUGGAGUUUAUUAAAGCUAGAAGCACAGAGGACAAAAAGGUUCCCGGCCUUCUAGUCUGACAAAUUCUUCUUGCUCUGUGCAGGGUCAGAUGGGGAAGAGAAACCUCAUAUCAGAGUUAAUGAUCAUAGUCCUGCUUUGCUAAUUAAUGCCACUGACUCAUGUGGUGUGAAAAGGCAACUUAAAAGGCUCCACACCAGCUGAGAAGUGGGAGCUGGAAGAGGAAAAGCACAGGAAUCCUUUACGUAACUAAGAAUGAAGGAGAAUCUUUAAUUUUCUGUUAAUUACAUCUUUUCAAUCUAUAAUUUCUGAGCAGGACAGGCAGGCAAAAUCAAAUCACUGCUGCCGUGACACAGUGGCUCCAUUUUAAUUAAAAGCCACCACCUUCAUAUCACCUCACAGAAGGGCACAGGCUGGAGUUACCCUGGGUCUCAUAUUUAUUUUCGUUUUUCUCCUUUAAUUUUUGCAUGAGCAAUUCUAACCCUUGACUUUCACAAAAUAACAUUUCAAUGGAGCCUUUUAAUUCAUAAUAGCUAUAAAAACUAAAUAGUAUGCAUACACAUGGAUUUAUAUACAUUUAUAUACACUUACAUAUGAGACUAUAAGGUCCAAAGACUAAUAUGAUAUUGCAUUUUAUGUUUCAAGGGCAUUGUGAGCUCCAAGUGGGAGGACCCUGGAAUCUUGAAAGGGUUUAUGUAUUCUGUUAACUAUUAAUAGCUGACUUGCCAGUCACUUGGUAGACAAUUUUUUCCAUACAGUUUCAGUAUUAUAUAAAAAUGAAAUUCUUGCACAGGGAAGGAUAUAGAUAUCAGUACAUAUAUACAUUAUUUUAGAACUCUGAUUAGGGGAUCAAUUCUUACACAAGAUAGAGGGCUUUUUUAAAGAUGUUUUUGAUGUGGACCAAUUUUAUGAUUUGCUUUUUUUUUUUUUUUGCCUCUAGGCAUAUGGGAUCUUCGCUUCCUAACCAGGGAUCAAGUCAGCAAAACCUGCAUUAGAAGGCAGAGUCUUAACUACUGGACCACCAGGGGAGUCCUGCAAGAUGGACUUUUAAUGUAUAAAUAUUUGAGAAGUGGGGAGUCAAUCCUAAGGUAUGAAAUUACCUGAGAUAAAUUUAUUUAAUUACCAUUUUCACCACUGAGGUGUGCACAUUUUGCAUUUUAGUAGGUAUAUGAAAAUAUGUGUAUAUAUAGUACAUAUAAAUGCAUACUUUGAUUUGAUAAAGUCUAUUUAAUGUGCAUGUUUAUUUUGGGGAAAAAACCCAUUUGUCAGUCACACCAAGUUUACUUUUCUGUUGUAUAAUCUGUUAUCUCUAUGAAUCACGGGCUUCCCUGGUGACUCAGAUGGUAAACAGUCUGCCUGCAAUGCAGGAGACUCAGGUUUGACUAUUGGGAAAGGAAGAUUCCAUGGAGAAGGAAGUGGCAAUCCACUCCAGUAUGUUUGCCUGGGAGAUCCCAUGGACAGAGGAGCCUGGCAGGCUACAGUCUGUGGAGUCGCAAAAGAAUUGAACAUGACUGAGUGACUAUGAAACACACCCUCUACCUCUUG